rnacentral:rRNA from 1 species
GGAAGUAAAAGUCGUAACAAGGUUUCCGUAGGUGAACCUGCGGAAGGAUCAUUAACGAGUAACUGAACGGGUUGUAGCUGGCCUCUCGGGGCAUGUGCACACCUGGCUCAUCCACUCUUCAACCUCUGUGCACUUGUUGUAGGUCGGCAGAAGGGCGAGCCUUAAAACAGCUCGCUUGGAAGCCUUCCUAUGUUUUACCACAAACGCUUCAGUUUAAGAAUGUAACCUGCGUAUAACGCAACUAUAUACAACUUUCAGCAACGGAUCUCUUGGCUCUCGCAUCGAUGAAGAACGCAGCGAAAUGCGAUAAGUAAUGUGAAUUGCAGAAUUCAGUGAAUCAUCGAAUCUUUGAACGCACCUUGCGCUCCCUGGUAUUCCGGGGAGCAUGCCUGUUUGAGUGUCAUGGUAUCCUCAUCCUUCAUAACUUUUUGUUAUCGAAGGCAUGGACUUGGAGGUCGUGCUGGUUUCUCGUUGAAUCGGCUCCUCUUAAAUGGAUUAGCGUGAGUGUAACGGAUCGCUUCGGUGUGAUAAUUAUCUGCGCCGUGGUCGUGAAGUAACAUAAGCUUGCGCUUCUAACCGUCCUUAAGUUGGACAACAUAACUUUGACAUCUGACCUCAAAUCAGGUAGGACUACCCGCUGAACUUAA